rnacentral:lncRNA from 1 species
UAACGAGGAAAAAAACGUAGAAGACAACGUGAGAACUAUUCUUCACGGCUUGUCGUCACCGCUGGAAAAUAACAGAUGUGCCGUUCUGCUCACGAUCGAGUGCUUCUCCAAUCCAUGUAUUAUAUAUUCUCCGGAAAUACGCGGAUAUAAAGU